CCAACGGCUCUUUUAAGAGCCACCCACCUCCUCUUAAAAGGGCUG
rfam:Tyto alba contig134435, whole genome shotgun sequence.